rnacentral:rRNA from 1 species
UACGUAGGGACCAAGCGUUGUUCGGAUUUACUGGGCGUAAAGGGCGCGUAGGCGGCAAUUCAAGUCAGUUGUGAAAUCUCCGAGCUUAACUCGGAACGGUCAACUGAUACUGUUUUGCUAGAGUGCAGAAAGGGCAACCGGAAUUCUUGGUGUAGCGGUGAAAUGCGUAGAUAUCGAGAGGAACACCUGCGGCGAAGGCGGGUUGCUGGGCUGACACUGACGCUGAUGCGCGAAAGCCAGGGGAGCGAACGGG